AGCUUGAUCAUAGAGGAAGUGCCUUUUAACCCAAUUUUUUAGACUGUGCCUCAAAGCAAUUAGGGUGAGACCUCAUUGUUGCUGCUAGAUGAUGCUGGUUAGUACUGAGUCUACUUAGGAUAAGUUUCAUUUUGAGAAGAUAUGACAGCAAAAGAGAUCUGUGACUAUUUUGGCUACUGGCCUCGCUACUUCUUGUUCUGUGUCUGGGUCAUCGACAUCGCCAUGAUAUUUUUGGUUUAUCACUUGGAAACACGUUUGAAAGAAAUAACAGAAAAAUUCCAAAGGGACAAACAUCAAGAAGAGGACUAUGCCAACUACAGAACGAGUGGAUUGAUGUGCGAGCAAGCCAGCUGAAGCAAUCAUUGAACAAUUAAUGUAAAAUUACUUUCAUACAAAUAUGACAUUACAAAGAAAGAACUGAAUUCUUGUAAUGGAGCAUCUUAAUAUAGACCUAUUUCAUUCAAAUGCAUAAUUUUUGUGUGGAAAUCUGAGGAAAUUUAAAAUAAGUACAGCUU